rnacentral:rRNA from 1 species
UACGUAGGGCGCAAGCGUUAUCCGGAAUUAUUGGGCGUAAAGAGCUCGUAGGUGGUUUGUCGCGUUGUUCGUGAAAACUCACAGCUCAACUGUGGGCGUGCGGGCGAUACGGGCAGACUAGAGUACUGCAGGGGGAGACUGGAAUUCCUGGUGUAGCGGUGGAAUGCGCAGAUAUCAGGAGGAACACCGGUGGCGAAGGCGGGUCUCUGGGCAGUAACUGACGCUGGAGGAGCGAAAGCGUGGGGAGCGAACAGG